rnacentral:snRNA from 13 species
GGUUAUAAAGAUUUUUAUACCGGGCCUUACAGAAGACCCCAAGUACAAUUUUUGCAGCCCUUUCCUUCGGGUCAGGGUA